CAGUAGCCGCGGUAACACGGAGGGUGCAAGCGUUAAUCGGAAUUACUGGGCGUAAAGCGCACGCAGGCGGUCUGACAAGUCAGAUGUGAAAUCCCCGGGCUUAACCUGGGAACUGCAUUUGAAACUGUCAGGCUGGAGUCUUGUAGAGGGGGGUAGAAUUCCAGGUGUAGCGGUGAAAUGCGUAGAGAUCUGGAGGAAUACCGGUGGCGAAGGCGGCCCCCUGGACAAAGACUGACGCUCAGGUGCGAAAGCGUGGGGAGCAAACAGGAUUAGAGACCCCUGUAGUCCCUGUCUCUUAUAC
rnacentral:rRNA from 1 species